UAUGGCCACAUCACGUUGAAACAAUGGUUCCCGUAUGAUCACAGAAGUGAAGCAACGUUGAUCCUGGUCAGUACCUAGAUGGUUGAGCGUUUGCGAAAAUUAUGUGCUGUAA